CCCUUAGAUGUUCUGGGCUGCACGCGCGCUACACUGGUGCGUUCAGCGAGUUUAGCACCUUAACAGAUAUGUUUGGGUAAUCUUCUGAAAACGCACCGUGAUGGGGAUCGAUUAUUGUAAUUAUUAAUCGUCAACGAGGAAUUCCUAGUAAGUGUGAAUCAUCAGUUCGCGCUGAUUACGUCCCUGCCCUUUGUACACACCGCCCGUCGCUGCUACCGAUUGGGUGUGCUGGUGAAAUGUUCGGAUCGGCCGUUUGUCGCGGUUUCCGCGGCUCGUGGCUGAGAAGUUCAUUAAACCCUCCCACCUAGAGGAAGGAGAAGUCGUAACA
rnacentral:rRNA from 1 species